rnacentral:rRNA from 1 species
UACGGAGAACUCAAGCGUUACCCGGAAUAACUGGGCGUAAAGCGUUGCGUAGGUGGUUUGGUAAGUGAGGUAUGAAAUAUCAGGGCUCAACCCUGAAAGUGUAUCUCAAACUACCAAACUUGAGCAUAGUAGAGGCAAGUGGAAUUGGCAGUGUAGGAGUGAAAUCCGUAGAUAUUGCCAGGAACACCCAUGGCGAAGGCAGCUUGCUGGGCUAUUGCUGACACUGAGGCACGAAAGCGUGGGGAGCGAACCGG